CACGUAGGGGGCUAGCGUUGUCCGGAUUUAUUGGGCGUAAAGAGCGUGUAGGCGGCCAGGUAGGUCUGCUGUGAAAACUCGAGGCUCAACCUCGAGACGUCGGCGGAAACCAUCUGGCUAGAGUCCGGAAGAGGAGAGUGGAACUCCUGGUGUAGCGGUGAAAUGCGCAGAUAUCAGGAAGAACACCCGUGGCGAAGGCGGCUCUCUGGGACGGUACUGACGCUGAGACGCGAAAGCGUGGGGAGCGAACAGG
rnacentral:rRNA from 1 species